rnacentral:tRNA from 1 species
ACCAGCAUAGCCAAGUGGCAAGGCAUCGGUACCGACAUCAGAGGUUCGAAUCCUCUUGCUGGUA